rnacentral:lncRNA from 1 species
AUGCCCUGUUCGAACUAUAGAGUAAGUAUCAUCUCAGUCAAAACCUCGACUGGCUUUUUUGUAGAAAUUGACAAGCCAAUUUUCAUAUUCAUAUGGAAAUGCAGGGGACCGAGGAAAAUCAGAAUGAGCUUGGAAGAGAACCACACUGAAAGACAUCCCUCAGGGGCUUCAGAGAUGGGGAGAGGCACAUUCCCACCUGGUGUGCUCCGGGGGCAGGAAGAGGGUCGACGGGGGUCCCCAGAUGUGCCUCCCGCACACACGUCGUGGAAGCUAUCGCAGAGGAGCUGCGGGUAUUUACCUGCUUGGUCAAGGCAGUGCUCCCAGAAAGGCAGCCGUCAGAAGGUGACCAGAGGGCGGACAGGCCCUACACAAGUUGCCAUACAUUCCUGUGUUCUCCAUCAUGUUUAUCUGAGUUUGAGAAGAGCACUAGGGAUGGCCUGGUUGGGGGCAGGUGUGAAGGCACGCGGCCCUUGCAGUGACUGGUGUCCCAUGGCUGGCCACCCAUACACCAGUUGGCCUUGGCACCAAGGUCCAGCUGUGUCUCCUCCUCCACGCCACCUUUCUGAAUCUCUGUGCUGACAUUGGUGUCCCCCAAAGGUGCGCAUGGAAAACAUGCAAAAUGCAGACUGUAGGACAGACGUGAAUUAAACAGCACAGCUGAAGCUGGCUUCUGAACAGAGGGACCUCGUCGCCCCAGCUCAGCCAUGUCUGGAGCUCCCUGCGGCCUCUCAGCAUCCUGGGCAUGGCUGGUCCUCCUGACUCCCGUGCUACUUGACCGCCCACGUGUGUGUUCACUGCCACAUCCACUCAGCAAGCAUUUCCUGUACCCGGCCUCAUUCCUGUGCUGGAAGCCAAGGGCGCACCAAGAGCAAAGGGGCCACAGGCUGCCUGUCAGGCCAAGGAGGGGAGGAGGCCUGAUGCCAGCCAUCAGCACGCCCCACCUGGGGCAGCAGCUUCUCUCACAGAGAGUCAGUCCCUUCCCCGACACCCUCCUCCCACCACACACACGCCCAGCCCCCCACAUGCAAGACCCCCGCUUCCAUCAGCCACCCUGACACCUGCCAAGCAGUGAGAAUUGCUCCUUCCCCAGAGCCGCCUCAUUCCCAGCUCGCGGUGGGACAGUCCUUGUGCGCGUAUGUUCUCCUGCUGGGGCUCAGCCUCCGUGCAGCUCCCGAUAGUUCUCAGCACCUGCCUGAUGCAGUUAGUUUGGGAAAGUGAUGUCAUGAAUACUGAUUCCAAUGGGUUGCCAUUCGUUGACCCAUGCAGAAACCUUCCUGAGUUUAUGAGGGUCAGGAUGAAACCCCUCCUCAUCCUGGAGGUCUGUGAGCUAUGGGUGGGGCAUGGAAAAGAAAGCAGGCCGUCGGGACAGGUGCAUGAAAGAGAGGUGAUGCCCUGGACAGCAUUCCGAUGGCCCACAUCAAAGCUGUACUGGGCACAUGGCCUGGGCCCUUAGCCGCAUAUCCAAGCACCUAGCUAAGAGAAAAAACCCAAAAGCUUUAAAAACCCUUUAAAGCCUGGUUCAAUUCAAUAAUACCUGUGGAGAGCUACACCCAUUGGAGACAGACACUGCUUCAUUUGGGAAAUAAAAAUACAAGAAAACAGAGAUCCCGCCUCUAA